AUUUCUAUUCUUUUCUUGCUUGACUCACUCCAUGACUCAUUCAACUUCUCACCUCCCCUUACCCUUUUCUCUUUAGUCUUAAAAAUGACUCUUUUUUUCUUCAACCAUAAUCAUUAACCAUGUCCUCCUUCUCUUCCUCUUUCCUUUCUUUCUUUCUUUCCCUUUUUUUCUUCCCUUGUGACUCAUUCAACUUCUCAACUCCCCUUACCCUUUUCUCUUUAGUCUUAAAAAUGACUCUUUUUUUCUUCAACCAUAAUCAUUAACCAUGUCCUCCUUCUCUUCCUCUUUCCUUUCUUUCUUUCUUUCCCUUUUUUUCUUCCCUUGUCUUUCUCAAUCCCUUAGAGGUAAACCCUUUUACCUAUUUCAUCAUUUGCCUUUGAUAAAUUUAAUCUUUUUGGUCAAAUUAAAAAAAACAACUUUAGUUCAAGAUUUCAACUUUUAUUGUUUUUGUGUGUUGUUUCUGAUUGAUUAUAGUGCUUUAGUUGAUUAUCAUUUGUCGUUGCUGAAAUUUAAUUAUUUUGUCAAAUUUUUGCAACUUUAUUUCAAGAUUUCAACUUCUUUGUUUCUUUUGCUGGUUUCAGGUGUUCUGAUUGAUUGUGGUGCUUCAGUUGAUUCUGUGUUUAAUGAACAAAAAUGGGUGUCAGAUACUGGUUACAUAUCAGCAGGAAUACCAAAGAACGUUACGGUACAAGUUCUUGAUUCCACACUGUCAACUGUCCGUACCUUCCCCCUACAGAACAAUGUUUUCAAGAAAUUCUGCUAUGAGGUUCCUGUUUAUCGUGGAGGGAAAUACUUGGUUAGGACAACAUAUUUUUAUGGUGGGGUUAAUGGGAAUUUGAAUCCUCCUGUGUUUGAUCAAAUUGUGGAUGGAACAUUUUGGAGUCCAGUGAAUACAACUGAGGAUUAUUGGCAUGGAAUGUCUUCUUAUUAUGAAGGGGUUUUUAUGGCUAUAGGAAAGAUUAUGAGUGUUUGUUUGGCUGCUAAUCGUUUAACCGAUUCGGACCCUUUUAUAUCUGCUUUGGAGCUUGUUUUAGUGUCUGAUCUAUGAGUGUUUGUUUGGCUGCUAAUCGAUUAACCGAUUCGGACCCUUUUAUAUCUGCUUUGGAGCUUGUUUUAGUGUCUGAUUCUUUGUAUAAUUCUACUGAUUUUACCACUUAUGCUUUGACUUUGAUUGCA
rnacentral:lncRNA from 1 species